GACGUAGGGUGCAAGCGUUGUCCGGAUUUACUGGGCGUAAAGAGCGCGUAGGCGGUCUGUUAAGUGUGAAGUGAAAUCUCCAGGGCUCAACCCGGAAACGGCUUCGCAUACUGGCAGACUGGAGGGAUGCAGAGGUGAGUGGAAUUCCUGGUGUACCGGUGAAAUGGGUAGAUAUCAGGAGGAACACCCGUGGCGAAGGCGGCUCACUGGGCAUCUCCUGACGCUGAGGCGCGAAAGUGUGGGUAGCAAACAGG
rnacentral:rRNA from 1 species